rnacentral:rRNA from 1 species
CUUCCUACGGGACGCAGCAGUGGGGAAUAUUGGGCAAUGGGCGCAAGCCUUACCCAGCAAUACCGCGUGAGUGAAGAAGGUCUUCGGAUUGUAAAGCUCUUUGAUCAGGGACGAACAGAUGACAGUACCUGAAGAACAAGCCCCGGCUAACUACGUGCCAGCAGCCGCGGUAAAACGUAGGGGGCGAGCGUUGUCCGGAACGACUGGGCGUAAAGGGUGCGUAGGCGGCAUAAUAAGUUAGAAGUGAAAUACUC